rnacentral:rRNA from 1 species
GGGUUGUGAGGUUAAGCGACUAAGCGUACACGGUGGAUGCCUAGGCAAUCAGAGGCGAUGAAGGACGUGCUAAUCUGCGAAAAGCGUCGGUAAGGUGAUAUGAACCGUUAUAACCGACGAUGUCCGAAUGGGGAAACCCAGUGCAAUUCGUUGCACUAUCGUUUGAUGAAUCCAUAGUCAAACGAGGCGAACCGGGGGAACUGAAACAUCUCAGUACCCCGAGGAAAAGAAAUCAACCGAGAUUACCCUAGUAGCGGCGAGCGAACGGGGAGCAGCCCAGAGUCUUAAUCAGCAUCAGCAUCAGGAGAACGGUCUGGAAAGGCCGGCAAUAAAGGGUGAUAGCCCCGUAUCCGAAGGUGUUGGUGUUGUGAACUCGAUGAGUAGGGCGGGACACGUGUUAUCCUGUCUGAAUAUGGGGGGACCAUCCUCCAAGGCUAAAUACUCCUGAUUGACCGAUAGUGAACCAGUACCGUGAGGGAAAGGCGAAAAGAACCCCGGCGAGGGGAGUGAAAUAGAACCUGAAACCGUGUACGUACAAGCAGUGGGAGCCUUGAUUUAUCAGGGUGACUGCGUACCUUUUGUAUAAUGGGUCAGCGACUUAUAUUCUGUAGCAAGGUUAACCGAAUAGGGGAGCCGUAGGGAAACCGAGUCUUAACUGGGCGAAUGAGUUGCAGGGUAUAGACCCGAAACCCGGUGAUCUAGCCAUGGGCAGGUUGAAGGUUGGGUAACACUAACUGGAGGACCGAACCGACUAAUGUUGAAAAAUUAGCGGAUGACUUGUGGCUGGGGGUGAAAGGCCAAUCAAACCGGGAGAUAGCUGGUUCUCCCCGAAAGCUAUUUAGGUAGCGCCUCGUGAACUCAUCUUCGGGGGUAGAGCACUGUUUCGGCUAGGGGGUCAUCCCGACUUACCAACCCGAUGCAAACUACGAAUACCGAAGAAUGUUAUCACGGGAGACACACGGCGGGUGCUAACGUUCGUCGUGAAGAGGGAAACAACCCAGACCGCCAGCUAAGGUCCCAAAGUCAUGGUUAAGUGGGAAACGAAGUGGGAAGGCUCAGACAGCCAGGAUGUUGGCUUAGAAGCAGCCAUCAUUUAAAGAAAGCGUAAUAGCUCACUGGUCGAGUCGGCCUGCGCGGAAGAUGUAACGGGGCUAAACCAUGCACCGAAGCUGCGGCAGCGACAUGUAAAUGUUGUUGGGUAGGGGAGCGUUCUGUAAGCCUGUGAAGGUGUGCUGCGAGGCAUGCUGGAGGUAUCAGAAGUGCGAAUGCUGACAUAAGUAACGAUAAUGCGGGUGAAAAACCCGCACGCCGGAAGACCAAGGGUUCCUGUCCAACGUUAAUCGGGGCAGGGUGAGUCGACCCCUAAGGCGAGGCAGAAAUGCGUAGUCGAUGGGAAACAGGUUAAUAUUCCUGUACUGGUGAUAAUUGCGAUGGGGGGACGGAGAAGGCUAGGCUGGCCGGGCGACGGUUGUCCCGGUUUAAGGAUGUAGGUGGGUGAAUUAGGCAAAUCCGGUUCGCUAUACACUGAGGUCUGAUGACGAGUCACUACGGUGGCGAAGUAGCUCAUGCCCCGCUUCCAGGAAAAGCCUCUAAGCUCUAGAUUAUCAUUAAUCGUACCCCAAACCGACACAGGUGGUCAGGUAGAGAAUACUCAGGCGCUUGAGAGAACUCGGGUGAAGGAACUAGGCAAAAUGGUGCCGUAACUUCGGGAGAAGGCACGCUGGCAUUAGGUGAAGUGGUUUACCCAUGGAGCCGAAGCCAGUCGCAGAUACCAGCUGGCUGCAACUGUUUAUUAAAAACACAGCACUGUGCAAACACGAAAGUGGACGUAUACGGUGUGACGCCUGCCCGGUGCUGGAAGGUUAAUUGAUGGGGUUAUCCGUAAGGAGAAGCUCUUGAUCGAAGCCCCAGUAAACGGCGGCCGUAACUAUAACGGUCCUAAGGUAGCGAAAUUCCUUGUCGGGUAAGUUCCGACCUGCACGAAUGGCGUAAUGAUGGCCAGGCUGUCUCCACCCGAGACUCAGUGAAAUUGAACUCGCUGUGAAGAUGCAGUGUACCCGCGGCAAGACGGAAAGACCCCGUGAACCUUUACUAUAGCUUGACACUGAACAUUGAGCCUUGAUGUGUAGGAUAGGUGGGAGGCUUUGAAGUGUGGACGCCAGUCUGCAUGGAGCCAACCUUGAAAUACCACCCUUUAAUGUUUGAUGUUCUAACGUUGCCCCAUAAUCUGGGGUGCGGACAGUGUCUGGUGGGUAGUUUGACUGGGGCGGUCUCCUCCCAAAGCGUAACGGAGGAGCACGAAGGUUGGCUAAGCAUGGUCGGACAUCAUGCGGUUAGUGCAAAGGCAUAAGCCAGCUUGACUGCGAGAGUGACGGCUCGAGCAGGUACGAAAGUAGGUCUUAGUGAUCCGGUGGUUCUGAAUGGAAGGGCCAUCGCUCAACGGAUAAAAGGUACUCCGGGGAUAACAGGCUGAUACCGCCCAAGAGUUCAUAUCGACGGCGGUGUUUGGCACCUCGAUGUCGGCUCAUCACAUCCUGGGGCUGAAGUAGGUCCCAAGGGUAUGGCUGUUCGCCAUUUAAAGUGGUACGCGAGCUGGGUUUAGAACGUCGUGAGACAGUUCGGUCCCUAUCUGCCGUGGGCGUUGGAAGAUUGAAAGGGGCUGCUCCUAGUACGAGAGGACCGGAGUGGACGCACCGCUGGUGUUCGGGUUGUCAUGCCAAUGGCACUGCCCGGUAGCUAAGUGCGGAAGAGAUAACCGCUGAAAGCAUCUAAGCGGGAAACUUGCCUUGAGAUGAGUCUUCCCUGACUCUUUAAGGGUCCUAAAGGAACGUUUAAGACGAAGACGUUGAUAGGCUGGGUGUGUAAGCGUAGCGAUACGUUGAGCUAACCAGUACUAAUGAACCGUGAGGCUUAACCUGACAACACCGAAGGUGUUUUAG